UACAGAGGGUGCGAGCGUUGUCCGGAAUCACUGGGCGUAAAGGGCGCGUAGGUGGUUUGAUAAGGGUGUGGUGAAAGUCCGGGGCUCAACCCCGGAUCUGCCGUGCCGACUGUCAAACUCGAGGGCUGUAGAGGCAGACGGAAUUCCGGGUGUAGCGGUGGAAUGCGUAGAGAUCCGGAGGAAGACCGGUGGCGAAGGCGGUCUGCUGGGCAGUUUCUGACACUGAGGCGCGACAGCGUGGGGAGCAAACAGG
rnacentral:rRNA from 1 species